GUCUACGGCCAUGCCACCCUGAACGUGCUGGAUCCCGUCUGAUCUCGGAAGCUAAGCAGGGUCGGGCCUGGUGAGUACUUGGAUGGGAGACCACCUAGGAAGACCAGGUACUAUAGGCG
rnacentral:rRNA from 1 species